rnacentral:rRNA from 1 species
GAUGAACGCUGGCGGCGUGCCUAAUACAUGCAAGUAGAACGCUGAAGGAAGGAGCUUGCUCUUUCCGGAUGAGUUGCGAACGGGUGAGUAACGCGUAGGUAACCUGCCUGGUAGCGGGGGAUAACUAUUGGAAACGAUAGCUAAUACCGCAUAACAGUAGAUGUUGCAUGAUAUCUACUUAAAAGGCGCAAUUGCACCACUACCAGAUGGACCUUCGUUGUAUUAGCUAGUUGGUGAGGUACCGGCUCACCAAGGCGACGAUACAUAGCCGACCUGAGAGGGUGGGCGGCCACACUGGGACUGAGACACGGCCCAGACUGCUACGGGAGGCAGCAGUAGGGAAUCUGCGGGAAUGGGCGGAAGUCUGACCGAGCAAGGCCGCGGGAGUGAGGAAGGUUUUCGGAUCGUAAAGCUCGGUUGUAAGGGAAGAACGAGUGUGAGAGUGGAAAGUUCACACUGUGACGGUAUCUUACCAGAAAGGGACGGCUAACUACGUG